rnacentral:rRNA from 1 species
GACGAACGCUGGCGGCGUGCUUAACACAUGCAAGUCGAACGGAAAGGCCCUGCUUUUGUGGGGUGCUCGAGUGGCGAACGGGUGAGUAACACGUGAGUAACCUGCCCUUGACUUUGGGAUAACUUCAGGAAACUGGGGCUAAUACCGGAUAGGAGCUCCUGCUGCAUGGUGGGGGUUGGAAAGUUUCGGCGGUUGGGGAUGGACUGGCGGCUUAUCAGCUUGUUGGUGGGGUAGUGGCUUACCAAGGGUUUGACGGGUAGCCGGCCUGAGAGGGUGACCGGCCACAUUGGGACUGAGAUACGGACCAGACGCCUACGGGAGGCAGCAGGGGGGAAUAUUGCAGAAUGGGCGGAAGCCUGAUGCAGCAACGCCGCGUGCGGGAUGACGUCCUUCGGGGUGUAAACCGCUUUCGCAUGUGACGAAGCGUGAGUGACGGUAAUGGGUAAAGAAGCACCGGCUAACUACGUG